UACGUAGGGGGCAAGCGUUGUCCGGAAUCAUUGGGCGUAAAGAGCGCGUAGGCGGUCCGAUAAGUCGGCUGUGAAAGUCCAGGGCUCAACCCUGGAAAGCCGGCCGAUACUGUCGGACUAGAGUCCGGAAGAGGCAAGUGGAAUUCCCGGUGUAGCGGUGAAAUGCGCAGAUAUCGGGAGGAACACCAAUUGCGAAGGCAGCUUGCUGGGACGGUACUGACGCUGAGGCGCGAAAGCGUGGGGAGCAAACAGGG
rnacentral:rRNA from 1 species